GGCUAUGGCUCAGUGGUAGAACAUCUACUAGGCAUGUAGAAGGCCCCAGGUUCAAUUCCGGGCAUCUCCA
rnacentral:tRNA from 1 species